AGACAUGACGUGUUGUGGUGGUAGUAGUAAUAGUACUGCUACUUUGAAUACUCAUCAUGAGAUUGAUGUACCGCUUAACUCACCCAGAUCUGAAACUAAUGCGAAUAUUGCUGAUGAGUAUGAGAUUUUAGGAGAAAAGAAGCACACCCAUUUGAGUAAUGUCAUCCAAAGGGUGCAUUUGAGGAAAAAGUUGGAAUCUUUGACUGUCGAUUUUGGGUUUGGAUUGGAAUUGAAAGGAAGGAAGAAGUUGGGGCACUGGAUG
rnacentral:misc_RNA from 1 species